UUAAGCGACUAAGCGUACACGGUGGAUGCCCUGGCAGUCAGAGGCGAUGAAGGACGUGCUAAUCUGCGAUAAGCGUCGGUAAGGUGAUAUGAACCGUUAUAACCGGCGAUUUCCGAAUGGGGAAACCCAGUGUGUUUCGACACACUAUCAUUAACUGAAUCCAUAGGUUAAUGAGGCGAACCGGGGGAACUGAAACAUCUAAGUACCCCGAGGAAAAGAAAUCAACCGAGAUUCCCCCAGUAGCGGCGAGCGAACGGGGAGCAGCCCAGAGCCUGAAUCAGUGUGUGUGUUAGUGGAAGCGUCUGGAAAGGCGCGCGAUACAGGGUGACAGCCCCGUACACAAAAAUGCACAUGCUGUGAGCUCGAUGAGUAGGGCGGGACACGUGGUAUCCUGUCUGAAUAUGGGGGGACCAUCCUCCAAGGCUAAAUACUCCUGACUGACCGAUAGUGAACCAGUACCGUGAGGGAAAGGCGAAAAGAACCCCGGCGAGGGGAGUGAAAAAGAACCUGAAACCGUGUACGUACAAGCAGUGGGAGCACGCUUAGGCGUGUGACUGCGUACCUUUUGUAUAAUGGGUCAGCGACUUAUAUUCUGUAGCAAGGUUAACCGAAUAGGGGAGCCGAAGGGAAACCGAGUCUUAACUGGGCGUUAAGUUGCAGGGUAUAGACCCGAAACCCGGUGAUCUAGCCAUGGGCAGGUUGAAGGUUGGGUAACACUAACUGGAGGACCGAACCGACUAAUGUUGAAAAAUUAGCGGAUGACUUGUGGCUGGGGGUGAAAGGCCAAUCAAACCGGGAGAUAGCUGGUUCUCCCCGAAAGCUAUUUAGGUAGCGCCUCGUGAAUUCAUCUCCGGGGGUAGAGCACUGUUUCGGCAAGGGGGUCAUCCCGACUUACCAACCCGAUGCAAACUGCGAAUACCGGAGAAUGUUAUCACGGGAGACACACGGCGGGUGCUAACGUCCGUCGUGAAGAGGGAAACAACCCAGACCGCCAGCUAAGGUCCCAAAGUCAUGGUUAAGUGGGAAACGAUGUGGGAAGGCCCAGACAGCCAGGAUGUUGGCUUAGAAGCAGCCAUCAUUUAAAGAAAGCGUAAUAGCUCACUGGUCGAGUCGGCCUGCGCGGAAGAUGUAACGGGGCUAAACCAUGCACCGAAGCUGCGGCAGCGACGCUUAUGCGUUGUUGGGUAGGGGAGCGUUCUGUAAGCCUGUGAAGGUGUGCUGUGAGGCAUGCUGGAGGUAUCAGAAGUGCGAAUGCUGACAUAAGUAACGAUAAAGCGGGUGAAAAGCCCGCUCGCCGGAAGACCAAGGGUUCCUGUCCAACGUUAAUCGGGGCAGGGUGAGUCGACCCCUAAGGCGAGGCCGAAAGGCGUAGUCGAUGGGAAACAGGUUAAUAUUCCUGUACUUGGUGUUACUGCGAAGGGGGGACGGAGAAGGCUAUGUUGGCCGGGCGACGGUUGUCCCGGUUUAAGCGUGUAGGCUGGUUUUCCAGGCAAAUCCGGAAAAUCAAGGCUGAGGCGUGAUGACGAGGCACUACGGUGCUGAAGCAACAAAUGCCCUGCUUCCAGGAAAAGCCUCUAAGCAUCAGGUAACAUCAAAUCGUACCCCAAACCGACACAGGUGGUCAGGUAGAGAAUACCAAGGCGCUUGAGAGAACUCGGGUGAAGGAACUAGGCAAAAUGGUGCCGUAACUUCGGGAGAAGGCACGCUGAUAUGUAGGUGAAGCGACUUGCUCGUGGAGCUGAAAUCAGUCGAAGAUACCAGCUGGCUGCAACUGUUUAUUAAAAACACAGCACUGUGCAAACACGAAAGUGGACGUAUACGGUGUGACGCCUGCCCGGUGCCGGAAGGUUAAUUGAUGGGGUCAGCGCAAGCGAAGCUCUUGAUCGAAGCCCCGGUAAACGGCGGCCGUAACUAUAACGGUCCUAAGGUAGCGAAAUUCCUUGUCGGGUAAGUUCCGACCUGCACGAAUGGCGUAAUGAUGGCCAGGCUGUCUCCACCCGAGACUCAGUGAAAUUGAACUCGCUGUGAAGAUGCAGUGUACCCGCGGCAAGACGGAAAGACCCCGUGAACCUUUACUAUAGCUUGACACUGAACAUUGAGCCUUGAUGUGUAGGAUAGGUGGGAGGCUUAGAAGUGUGGACGCCAGUCUGCAUGGAGCCGACCUUGAAAUACCACCCUUUAAUGUUUGAUGUUCUAACGUUGACCCGUAAUCCGGGUUGCGGACAGUGUCUGGUGGGUAGUUUGACUGGGGCGGUCUCCUCCUAAAGAGUAACGGAGGAGCACGAAGGUUGGCUAAUCCUGGUCGGACAUCAGGAGGUUAGUGCAAUGGCAUAAGCCAGCUUGACUGCGAGCGUGACGGCGCGAGCAGGUGCGAAAGCAGGUCAUAGUGAUCCGGUGGUUCUGAAUGGAAGGGCCAUCGCUCAACGGAUAAAAGGUACUCCGGGGAUAACAGGCUGAUACCGCCCAAGAGUUCAUAUCGACGGCGGUGUUUGGCACCUCGAUGUCGGCUCAUCACAUCCUGGGGCUGAAGUAGGUCCCAAGGGUAUGGCUGUUCGCCAUUUAAAGUGGUACGCGAGCUGGGUUUAGAACGUCGUGAGACAGUUCGGUCCCUAUCUGCCGUGGGCGCUGGAGAACUGAGGGGGGCUGCUCCUAGUACGAGAGGACCGGAGUGGACGCAUCACUGGUGUUCGGGUUGUCAUGCCAAUGGCACUGCCCGGUAGCUAAAUGCGGAAGAGAUAAGUGCUGAAAGCAUCUAAGCACGAAACUUGCCCCGAGAUGAGUUCUCCCUGACCCUUUAAGGGUCCUGAAGGAACGUUGAAGACGACGACGUUGAUAGGCCGGGUGUGUAAGCGCAGCGAUGCGUUGAGCUAACCGGUACUAAUGAACCGUGAGGCUUAACCUU
rnacentral:rRNA from 1 species